UGGGGAAUUGUUCGCAAUGGGCGCAAGCCUGACGACGCAACGCCGCGUGGAGGAUGAAGACCUUCGGGUCGUAAACUCCUUUCGAUCGAGAUGAAUGGCCUUCGGGUGAACAACCCGGAGGAAUGACAGUACCGAGAGAAGAAGCCCCGGCUAACUCCGUGCCAGCAGCCGCGGUAAUACGGGGGGGGCAAGCGUUGUUCGGAAUUACUGGGCGUAAAGGGCUUGUAGGUGGCCAACUAAGUCAGACGUGAAAUCCCUCGGCUUAACCGGGGAACUGCGUCUGAUACUGGAUGGCUUGAGUGUGGGAGAGGGAUGCGGAAUUCCAGGUGUAGCGGUGAAAUGCGUAGAUAUCUGGAGGAACACCGGUGGCGAAGGCGGCAUCCUGGACCAUUACUGACACUGAAAAGCGAAAGCCAGGGGAGCAAACG
rnacentral:rRNA from 1 species